rnacentral:rRNA from 1 species
GUGGGGAAUCUUGCGCAAUGGGCGAAAGCCUGACGCAGCCAUGCCGCGUGGAUGAUGAAGGUCUUAGGAUUGUAAAAUCCUUUCACCGGUGAAGAUAAUGACUGUAGCCGGAGAAGAAGCCCCGGCUAACUUCGUGCCAGCAGCCGCGGUAAUACGAAGGGGGCUAGCGUUGCUCGGAUUUACUGGGCGUAAAGGGCGCGUAGGCGGACAUUUAGGUCAGGGGUGAAAUCCCGGGGGUCAACCGCGGAACUGCCUUUGAUACUGGGUGUCUAGAGUAGGAGAGGGGUGUGUGGAACUCAGAGUGUAGAGGGGAAAUUCGUAGGUAUUCGGAAGAACACCAGUGGCGAAGGCGACACACUGGCUCAUUACUGACGCUGAGGCGCGAAAGCGUGGGGAGCAAACAGGAUUAGAAACCCGUGUGGUCC